GGUUGCAGCUGUGGGAGGAAAGGAAGAAAGGAGCAAGUGUGCAAGAGAAGAAACAAACCCCAGAAACUGUGUUGGUUACAUCAUACCAGUGCCAAGUUCCCAGAGGAUCUGUCAAUUUCUACUUCCCUAUGGCAGGACCUUGGGUAACCUGGAGUCUUGAGCUAUCAAACCAGUGACUGAUUUUCCUGGAGGAAAGGGAAUGAAAUCUUGAAAUCAGAGGACCAAGUUGAACAAACACUCCAGAAAGGAGAUAUGGUGAAUCAAGAAUGAAACUGAAAAAUCCAGGAAAUUUGAGGUAGAGUGACUACAGACGUUUGUACUGAGAUGAAAUGUAGUGCAGGGAAAUGACCAAAACUUGCCCAAAUAAUUGCCUUUGAAAUGUCUAAAAUGAUAAAAGAAAGGGAAACAAUGUGACAGGAGAGAAAAAGAACUGAAACUUCAAAAGGAAAAAAACCAAAAACCUGAUAGAACAUGGACACAAGAAAAGUCAAUGGGAUGACCUGAAGUGCAGGAAUAUGAUCUGAAGCUUGCCCAAUUGAUCCUCAUUGAAAUAACAGGAUUUUAUUCACUUACCUGAAAGGAAAUAAAUCACUGGGACAAAAUCAGACUGCAUCAGCAUCUAUCUAUUAGUUCUGCUACAUUAGAGAAUUAGCAAACUCCCCUCCCUCAGGCAGAUCUGUCACACUGUUAGCAGGUUCCCAUGGUACCAUCCUACAGCAACCACUCUCUACAUGUUAUAGCCUGCAAAAAAUAUCACCAACACUUCCCUGAUCUUCAUACUGCUGUCCAAAUAUUUAGCACACCAAAAUCUCUGGGAAAAUCUGUGCAGAGCACAG